UUCUUCUUAUUUAAGAAGUAUCCCCUGCCCGGUGUUUCGAAUUAACGGCCGCAGUAUUCUAACUGUGAAAAUGUAGCGUAAUUGCUUGUUGUUUUAUUGAUAACUUGUUUGAAAGGGGGAAUAUUAGAAUUUCUUUUUUUAGUGUAAUGAAGAAUUUUGUUAUAAGGUUAAAAAUCCUUUUGUUGUUAAAAAGAAGAGAAGACCCUAGAAAGUUUUCUUAUAAAAAAUAGUAAGUUUUUUUAGGGUGAAAGAUGGUUUACACUAUCUUUUAGCUAGGGAUGUAUGAAAAAAUUACUUUAGGGAUAACAGGAAAAUAGAAAAUUAGAGAUCUUAUCGAAUUUUCUGUUUUUUACCUCGAUGUUGAAUUAAUAAGUCUUUUUUUUGCAGCAGAAAAAAAAGAUAGUCUGUUCGACUAUUAAAAAAUUACA
rnacentral:rRNA from 1 species